rnacentral:rRNA from 1 species
ACGCUCGACACCUACGGGAGGCAGCAGUGGGGAAUAUUGCACAAUGGGGGAAACCCUGAUGCAGCAACGCCGCGUGAAGGAAGAGGGUCUUCGGAUUGUAAACUCCUGUUGUUGGGGAAAAAGAGGAUGGUACCCAACAAGGAAGUGACGGCUAACUACGUGCCAACAGCCGCGGUAAUCUGAGCGGGCUGGCAAGGC